rnacentral:rRNA from 1 species
AAUGAACGCUGGCGGCGUGCGUAACACAUGCAAGUCGAACGAGAAAUUCCGGGCUUGCUCGGGAGAGUAAAGUGGCGAACGGGUGAGUAACGCGUGGGUAACCUGCCCCUGAAUCUGGAAUAACUUCGCGAAAGCGAGGCUAAUACCGGAUAUUGUCCCAGGGACCUCGGUCUCUGUGAUGAAAGAUGACCUCUUCACGAAAGUUGUCGUUCAGGGAGGGGCCCGCGUACCAUUAGCUAGUUGGUAGGGUAAUGGCCUACCAAGGCUACGAUGGUUAGCUGGCCUGAGAGGGCGGCCAGCCACACUGGAACUGAGACACGGUCCAGACUCCUACGGGUGGCUG